AAAAAUGAGUGCUAUAUUAAUAUUUUUAAUGGUUUUAUUUUUGAUUGUGAACUGCCCUGAGCCAUUUUUGGAUGGGUGGUAUAUAAAUGGAAUGAUUGAAUGAAUGUGCCCCAAACCUGUAGGAAUGGGGUCAGGAAAGCGGAGGUUCAGAAUGAGCUGCGGCUUGUGAGGGAUGCCAAAAACCACAAAAAGGGGCUUCAUGGAUCUGUCCAAAACAAGAGGAUGGUGAAAGUGGUAGGUCUGUUGCUUGGAGAAAACAGCGAGAUGGUCAAGAGUAACAGGAGAACUGAAGGCAAAGCUACUUAACACCGAUUUUGCAUCUUUCUUCUCCCACAAGGCAAAUGUGGUCCAGCCUUUGAAGAAAGGAGGGAAAUGCACAUCAGGGUAGAUACAGAGAAGAGCACCAGAAGGAAGAUCAUGUUCUGAAGAGCCACAAUCUAAAAAAGACACAACAAUCUUAAAAAGACACAAAAGAGACAACAGAGGACAGGGAGGGAAGGGCGUGCAGCAGUGGCGGCUCACCAGUGAGGCAAGAUCACUUACAGCGGCAGGAGUUCCUUGAACUCCCAGGGAAUGUUGAUCAUGACAUGGUACUCUUAAAACAUUUCAGAAAGCUCUUCAAGGAGAAUCGCAAAGGCAAACAUACUAGUACUGAAAGGUUUGAUUUUAACAAUAUAUAUUUUUUUAAA